rnacentral:misc_RNA from 1 species
GAUGAAGAACGCAGCGAAAUGCGAUACGUAAUGUGAAUUGCAGAAUUCAGUGAAUCAUCGAAUCUUUGAACGCAUAUUGCGCUCUCUGGUAUUCCGGAGAGCAUGCUUGUUUGAGUAUCAGUAAACACCUCAACUCCCCUUUCUUUUUUUGAAAUGGGAGCUGGACUUGAGUGAUCCCAACGCUUUUCUCACCGAAAAGUGGCGGGUUACUUGAAAUGCAGGUGCAGCUGGACUUUUCUCUGAGCUAAAAGCAUAUCUAUUUAGUCUGCCUAAAAAACAGAUUAUUACCUUUGCUGCAGCUAACAUAAAGGAGAUUAGUUCUUGUGCUGACUGAUGCAGGAUUCACAGAGACAGCUUCGGCAGGCCUUUGUAAACUCGAUCUCAAAUCAAGUAAGACUACCCGCUGAACUUAAGCAUAUCAAUAAGCGGAGGA